rnacentral:rRNA from 1 species
GGCUCAGAUUGAACGCUGGCGGCAUGCCUUACACAUGCAAGUCGAACGGCAGCACGGGAGCAAUCCUGGUGGCGAGUGGCGAACGGGUGAGUAAAGUAUCGGAACGUGCCCAGUCGUGGGGGAUAACGUAGCGAAAGUUACGCUAAUACCGCAUACGAUCUACGGAUGAAAGCGGGGGAUCGCAAGACCUCGCGCGAUUGGAGCGGCUGAUAUCAGAUUAGGUAGUUGGUGGGGUAAAGGCUCACCAAGCCGACGAUCUGUAGCUGGUCUGAGAGGACGACCAGCCACACUGGGACUGAGACACGGCCCAGACUCCUACGGGAGGCAGCAGUGGGGAAUUUUGGACAAUGGGCGCAAGCCUGAUCCAGCCAUGCCGCGUGCAGGAUGAAGGCCUUCGGGUUGUAAACUGCUUUUGUACGGAACGAAAAGGUUUGGCCUAAUAAGCUGGACCCAUGACGGUACCGUAAGAAUAAGCGCCGGCUAACUACGUG